UACGAAGGGGGCGAGCGUUGUUCGGAUUUACUGGGCGUAAAGGGCGCGUAGGCGGCCCCUCCUAGUCGCGUGUGAAAGCCCCCGGGCUCAACCUGGGAAUUGCGCGCGAAACGGGGGGGCUUGAGUUCGGGAGAGGAGCGUGGAAUUCCCGAGUGUAGAGGUGAAAUUCGUAGAUAUUGGGAGGAACACCAGUGGCGAAGGGCGAGUCUCUGGACGCACCUGACACUGAGGCACGAAAGCUAGGGGCAGCGAAACAGG
rnacentral:rRNA from 1 species